rnacentral:lncRNA from 1 species
AUAUUAAAAAUUGAAAUACUGAUGAAACUUUUUAAUAUUUCUUUUUAUUUAUACAGAGUCUUUGGAUAUGGAUAUAUCUUACACCUACAGCAGAUCUCAGUUUGGAUCAGCCUCAUCUCAAGGGCAACGGCCACAUGUGGCUGGCAACUACUGAAUCGGUCAGCAGUACCUGCAAGUGUGCUAAGUGACAGAGCCUGGAUUCCAACCCCAGCAUUUCUGGCUCCCAAGUCUACACCUUAACUGCUCACAAUGACCACGAAUUUUCAAACCAGAGACCUGGAUUUGCAUCCCAGACUCUUCAGUCUUUCACUGGGGUUGAAUCAGUUCCCUGAACAACUAGGAGCUUCAGCUUCCUCCUCCAUGAAAAUGAGGUAAGUCCUGCCAAACUGAAGUAUCAUUGCAAGAAUGUAAUGACAUUGGGCACGGAAAGCACCAAUUAUACUGUCUGGCACAGAGUAGAUGCCGAUAAAGGCUGGUUGCCCUGCAAAAUGCCAUGGGGAGCCACUUCAGGCUUUUAGGCAGGGGAAUGGGAUGAUUGAACUUACACUUGAGGAAGAUUUAUGCUGGAAAUACCUGUCUUCCUUGAUUACUUGCCCGGAUGGAUUGGAGCUGGGAGAGAUGUGUUAGGAAGAUAUUGCAAUAGUCCAGAUAAGAGGUAACGAGGGCCUGUGCUGGGACAGCGGCAGGGAGAUUGCAAUCGCAUUAUCUAACUGCAGGAUAUUAGAGCCAAAACAGGCCCUAUGGAGAACAGAGUCCAGACUUAAAUGACUUAUCCAAGGAUAGAUUAUGGGACUAGUGAAGUUCAUCUAGUUCUCUCAUUCACUGUUCUUUCCUUCGCUCAGGCAGCGCUGAUGUUAGAGAUCAGCACCAAAAUAUUCAACUCUUAAUAGAAACAACAAAACAUCUCAGUUUUGUCUAAAUCGUAUACUUUCUACUCUUCAGUAGCAUCCACCGACGAGCUCAUGUAAUCCUGUCAAUGGCCACUCUCCCCACUCCUAAGGGAAGGUAGGUAGACUGGAGUCAGAACAAUUUCCACCUUACAGUUAGGUAAACCGAGGCACAGAGGAAGAUAAAUCUUAGUUCUGGUUCAUAUUCUCUCUUACUUCUAAAUUAGUUUUUUUUUUUUUGCUGUAAUUAAAGUUUGUUUUGGCUUUGAAGCAUUACUAAAAUGUUGAUACAGGAAUGGUGUUCAUAAAAUUUCAUGUUGAACAGAAUGUCAUGGGAACAGAAAGGCCUAUGUCUUUUAAGAUUAUUCAGAUUUUAAAGGUAAUGAGUACAGUUCACUUGAAAUCGUGUAAAGGAAGACUAUUGUGUGAUCAACGGGAAAUUGGAUCUCCGUAGCUGUUUUGUCUUAAAUAUAGUGCUUGAAGGUAUACCUUGCUAAGAAAAUGUGCUGAGAUGCUAUCUCUUUCCAUCUCCCACCGAGAGCGGAGAAAAGAAACCAAUGUUUAUAAAAUUAGCUUUCUGGCCUAUGAGGAAUGGUAAAUUCUACCACAGGAGGGCGCAGGAAAGGGCAGAUGCUUUUUCAGAUUAUCGACACGAGGUGGCGCCGCUCUGCUAGUUUUUCUUUAUGUCUGUUUUCAAUUUCUUAUUUUUUUAUUCCUUUGUUUGGUAGCGAUGUUAAUGGAGUAGCUUAAGUCCUGUAAAGAAGCGUUUUCAUUUUUCUAUUCUUUUCUUAAUAUGUCUGGGUUUGUCAUAUAUAAGUAUAUGCUCAUAUAAUAUAUAAGUGGCCAGGGGAAGGAAAACUAGUUAUUCAUCACUGUAUUCUCCGUACAGUGUACAGAUGAGUUAUAUUUUGCUCUUGCAUUAAUUUUCAGGAUAUUCAAGUAUGGGUCCAAAUUGACUUUUCCUUUGUGGUCUGUCAUUGUCUCAGAUUCUUUAGAGUUUCGUUGGACAUUUCACUUUAGUUUGAGUUUAAAAGGGACAUAAUUCUGAAUCACAUCAGAGCUACUAAAACGUAACAUAACUCAAAUACUGGAAAGAAAAAUAGGUAUCAAUAAAGGAUUUGAAAAUGAAUUCUUCCA